rnacentral:rRNA from 1 species
AUUGAACGCUGGCGGCAUGCCUUACACAUGCAAGUCGAACGGCAGCACGGGGCAACCUGGUGGCGAGUGGCGAACGGGUGAGUAAUGCAUCGGAACGUACCUUUCAGUGGGGGAUAACGUAGCGAAAGUUACGCUAAUACCGCAUAUCCUGUGAGCAGGAAAGCAGGGGAUCGCAAGACCUUGCGCUGAUUGAGCGGCCGAUGUCAGAUUAGCUAGUUGGUGAGGUAAAGGCUCACCAAGGCGACGAUCUGUAGCGGGUCUGAGAGGAUGAUCCGCCGCACUGGAACUGAGACACGGUCCAGACUCCUACGGGAGGCAGCAGUGGGGAAUUUUGGACAAUGGGGGCAACCCUGAUCCAGCCAUGCCGCGUGAGUGAAGAAGGCCUUCGGGUUGUAAAGCUCUUUCGGCCGGGAAGAAAUCGCACGGGCUAAUACCCUGUGUGGAUGACGGUACCGGAAUAAGAAGCACCGGCUAACUACGUGCCAGCAGCCGCCGUAA